UACGUAGGGUGCAAGCGUUAAUCGGAAUUACUGGGCGUAAAGCGUGCGCAGGCGGUUAUAUAAGACAGUUGUGAAAUCCCCGGGUUCAACCUGGGAACUGCAUCUGUGACUGUAUAGCUAGAGUACGGUAGAGGGGGAUGGAAUUCCGCGUGUAGCAGUGAAAUGCGUAGAUAUCUGGAGGAACACCGGUGGCGAAGGCGGCAUCCUGGACCGGCAUUGACGCUGAGGCGCGAAAGCUAGGGGAGCAAACGGG
rnacentral:rRNA from 1 species